UUGGGAGCUUCAUCAGGACCCUCCAUGGGGACAAUGGGAUGGGCUCAACCUAGGGACCAACUUCCCCAAGGAUGGAGGAUGCUCUGUGAGGUGUGUUUGGGGUGACCUCUUCCUUAGCUUCUCCUCUGUGUCCCAUGCUCCUGGCCUCACUAGCUCAGCAGCGCGUGGCUCCUUCGGGGCCGGCAGUGAGCCAUGCUGACGCCUUGCGCUUGGGCGCACAGAACUGGUUUGUUGUGACCCUCGCUCCCUCCCAUGAAGAACAGACUAUUUAUUUCCUUCCUCCGAAGCUGAGCGCUUCCCUGUUGGGAGCCACCUCCUCUCUCUUUGUGGAUAGAGGAACGCUGAGCAGGGAUGAGAGCUUCCAGCUUGGUGGAUCCAAGCUCUUAAGGGCUUCAUCUCCACUGCUACACGGGGUGGUGGGGGGGACAGCCUGUCUGGAGGGGUCCUGGCUCAAAAGAGUGCAGCUCGGGUCUGCUCGGGAGCCAAAGACCGGCUACAGGGUCAGGCAUCCCGAUUCACGGUUGGAGAAGGACCAUCUGCCUGUGCCAUGUCGAAGGGAUUUUCACAUCUGAGCCACGAACGCAUCUCCUGUCCCACUGGGGCGUUUGCACAUCCUUUGACUCACCUGGACCAGCCGAAGAGGGGUGGAGCGGCGCAGGAAAAAGCCAUUAUCCAGAGGUUGUCCUUUCCCAUGCAGAAGGCUUCAUCGCAGAUGGAUGGGAAUCCUGCCAGGCAGCCACAUUUUUGAGGUGGGGAAACUGAGGCUGAGAUCCCUGUCCAGCUGUGCGACCUCCCGACAACAGUUGCCAGCCUGGUGAUGGAGGAAAGGGGGUCUUCCUAGAAACAAGAAACUCUUAAAAAUCCAAUGGAGAUAACAGCAUUCUCUACCCAACAAACCCGUUUCCAUGCACGCCAGGUAGAUGUUUGUCAGCUCUGCUGGAAGUGUGGGUAUCUGCGCAGGUAAGUGAUUGCGCACCGGUGCUUCUACACGUAUAUAAAGGGUGGGAAAGCCAAGGGGAGCAUCCAGGUGAGAACAGGAGCCAGAAGAGGACUGACCUGCAGCAUCCCGUGGCUGCACUCGCCAGGUAGGUGCUUGGACUCUGCUCGGUGAGGUGGGCACUUCAUAGGCGCUCGGAUAGGCGGUGAUGUUCCCAGCAUGUGUUGACUUCAGAAGAGCGAGCUCUGACAAGAAAGAGGAAACAAAAUCAAUGCUUAAACAAGAGGAAAGGUGCUUUCUGCUCAUCCCCCAUCGUAGAGAAUCGAUUCCACCAGCUCCUGCCUCCCUGCUUGUUGGGAGCACCCAGCAGACAGCGACGCAUGCAGCAGAGGCUCAGGGAGCUCUGGGUGCUCUCUGCGCUCGGGGAGCCGCUUUGAACAGACAGAAUAUGAGUCACCGACAGUUCCAGUUGACAGCAAGGAUUUGAUUUUUUUAUCUGGAAGACAGCUUGGUAGAUAAACAUACUGUCUUGUCACCGUGCUCACACCACUACCAGGUGGAUGCUCACCCCUCCUUCACCCUAUUUUACACGGGCAUAAGCAAAACAGGGCACUGCUGCACCGUGCGACCGCAGUACUUUGUUGUGCUGACGUUGAACUUGGGAUCCUCCUGCUUUGUGCUUUCUCUUUGUAGCUGGGAAGCAAAUUCACUAACAACAAAGUGCCUAUCUGCCUGGAGAGACAUUGAGCUAGAGAUCUUAGGUCUGGAAGACACGUCCUGCUUACAAAAUAAGGAAGGGACGUUCAGAAAAGACAUUUUUUUAACUGGAAGGGGGCUGUUCCUCUGGGGGAAGAGGGAGCGAAUCAAUUCACAAAGGGUUAGUCAAUAAGAGAUGGAAGAGGCGACUGGGUUUAUUUCUUUGUAUGUGGCAGUGUUUUAUUGCUGUGGUAGAAUAACCGAAAAGGCACAAAAGAUUGAUGCUACUGAGAUAGCAGAGUGUUAUCAGCCCGUAUGCAUAUCAACACGCUGGAUUACAAGGGGCAAGCCUGAGAAAUGCCCUUUGGAUCACUGUAGCAAACAUUACCUGGCACUGCGUCACUGCUGAUGGCUUUGAGGACCCAGAAUGGGUGGCAAGAGGUGCCACUCGUGCUGCUCUAAGUGGGGCCAAGGGAGGGGAGAGGGGCUACAGCCCACCCCAGCCCGGCUCUCAGCGGAGAGAUGCGACUGGCAAGCACUGCAAAAAGAGAAUAUUCAUUAACUGCCACUGGCCUUCGGUUCAAUAUUCGCUGAUAUUUAUGGGAAAUCUAAUUUAGGGGUCAAAUUUGACCUAACAAUGUCUUUUCAAUAACGUCCAAACCAAGAGGUUUCUGAAACUAAUUAAGGAUCAGGGUCCAAUCAGGUAGAGUAGUUGAGCUGUGGGACCAGACUUCAUUAAAUUCAUCCAGAGAGAAUAUUUUAAUAUUUAAAGAGAACAUUUAAUGUUUACGUAAGUCCCCUUCUGAUGUGAAGUCACUGUUAAAUCACUUCAGAAGGUAGUUUUUAAAGCUCUUUAUACUCAGCUUUUAUGGACCCAGGCUGGCAAAUGCCCUUCCCAGCUCUCCUGGACCCAAUGAGGCUUACUAAAAGAUUCAGCUCAUCAAGGGAGGUUUUCAGGGGUGAGGAAUAUGAAAACAAAAUUUCACAAAACAGCUGUCUUAAGGCUUUUCUCUUUUAUGGCAUCCCUCUUUCUCCCUUGCUGUCAGUGGGAUUGAUGGGACCAUUUUGCUCUGGAUGUGUGUGGGUCUUAAACGAGUACAGCUGGAGGGGUAAAGCUUGCAGAACAGAGGGAGUGUUUAACGAUACUGAAGGGUUGGGCUUGAAGUCUCUGGAGAUGUUGCUCAAGAACAAACCUGUUUACAGAAAAAGGUUUGAGAGGAGAAUUGUCAGUCAAGACACUUCUAUUCUCAGCUCAGGGGCAACUGGAAGAGUAAAUAUACAUCUAGGUAGCUGGUGGCUAAAUUAGAUUGCAACCGAUCAAAAGCCAAAGGGAUUUCUUGUCAAAUGGUCCUCUCUGUUGUCACCGUGGUAUCUUCUUUCCUGUGUCAUUCAGACUUGCGUGAUGGUUUCAAAGAAGGCGGUGGCCGGUUUGCUCUGGGUGUACGUGGUGUCCAUGCUGGCUGAACAGAAUGAAGGCUUCGUGCCCUUUUUCACUCGAAGCGACUUCCAGGAAAUGCAGGUAACUCCUGAGAAAAACUGCAGGGGCUGGAGCCCUGAAUAAACCAAGAAAGGUGUUUCUUCCUCCCUCAUCCCCAAGCUCUGCCAGUGCACAGUGCCACCGUCAUUGCUAUCACCUGCCCCUUCUGUUUAAAGGUGCUAUGAUACUGGCAGUCCCUGGCUUGUCCUGAAGUUAAGGGCUUUGAGAGAGGGCAGAGACAACUUUUAAGAUGUGAGACUAGAAAGAAAGAGUCUGGAGUCCUUUACAAAAGAGCUAAAAGACCUUUGUGGGUUCUCAGUUGCAGCUUAGUGGGUCUCGGUUUUCUUUCCUGCACAAUAGUAGCUGUAAUUUUUGUAUAGAGAAGCUGCAGCCUCCCAUCACCAUACGGAUGGGUCUUUUUGUUGUAACAAAUAAUUAACCAUCCUCCAGAUGGCUGUCACCUCUGGGAUGCGCAGAGAAUGCUUUUUUCUUUUGAUGUGAAACUAAUACUGUUGAAAGGUGUCAGAGACUGCAUCUUCUUAAACACAGCCGAAGUGAGCUUCCCCUGCAUGAUACAACCCAUCGAUACCGGGAAGAAAUCUUGUUUCCAACACCUUUCCAGACACUGGAUAGCAAUUGGUUUUGUGGAGAGUACAAUCAUCGUUCAGCCUUGUUGAGGAAGAUGAGCGAGACCCACGCACAGCCCCCAGAUCGAUUGUUCAUACAUCACAACUCUUGUAGCUAUGUGUCUGCUAGAGAUUGAGGGUCUUGUAGAAGAAUGGGGGUGAAAUCAGUCUUCCAAAGGCUGCCUCUCCUCCUCGGGGCACACAUUUGAACCAAAGGAAGCACAAACUAAGCACUUAAGUUUGGUACAGAGCACAACCUUUACUACGUUUCACAUGUCCCGUCAUGUACUAAAGCAAUUUUGGCUUUUCUCUUUGUGCUGGAAAGAAAGGGAGGGUCCUGAAGCCAAGUUUAGCCCCAUAAAUGGGAAAGGGCUGACAUUACAGACCUGCGAUAAAGGCAGAGAGCUUUCUGUCUGCAAUGAGGCUCUGCAGGCUUUUAUUAAAUUUAAUUGCCAUUGCUCCAGAACAGAACCGGGUCUGGGCCUCUGGAAUAACUCCACACGGUCAGUAGACUUGGCCACAACUGACAGGGUUACCUUGCACAGAUUGAAAGAGUUGUCUGAGAAUGUCAUAUUUGCUAUAGAUCUUUGCAUACAAUUCUGUAGCCCAACCUUACACCCAAUAUUGCCUCCUCUGCUGCAUGUCCCCAAGCCACGCUGACCACUGCUGGUGGGUCCUUCCUCAGGCAGCUGGAGGCCUGGGAACAUGGCCACACUGGCUCCAGGCAGCAGUUAGACCUCUAGUCCCUCUGGUUUUGCGCCCAGGUCCGCAGGCUCCUGCCAUCAUACUUUAUAUGGUGCACGGUGAGCUUGGUACCCAUAUGAUGCUGCAUCCCAGCAUCACUGCCCUAUUUGCUCUACUGUGGAGUUACAGGAAAAGGAGAGGAACAGAGGAGGGCAGAAGAAAUCCCUGACCUCGCGGCAGCAGCUGGAAGAAGAAGGCUUCUCUCGGCGAUCUGGUGCAGAUGUCCACAAGGUCAAGAGCAGCCAGGGAACCCUUUACCUGUCUGCGCAGCCACACCUGCGGUGAGCACGGCAGGAGUGCGUGGGUCCACCUCAAACUGCAGGAGAGACUGAGCAGGACAGGCAGCGGGAUGAGCUAGACUGGAAUUUGGCCAAGACACAGGUUAAUGUGCGCUGUCACAAAUGCGGUUCACCAACAAUCAAUAAUAGGAUUUAAGCAGCAAGGAUUCACAGUUCAAAGCAUUAAAUAACCGGCACAUCCCAAUAUCUAACAAACCCCCCCGGCCCCACAUCAACCACAAGCCCUCCUGUGCCUCCAGCCACGACCGGAAAAACUCGAUUUAAUUUAGGUACAUCUGAGCCACAGCUGGCUCAGUCAGUCAGUCUGGAGGCAGGAUGAUGUCUCAUCCUCAGCCUUUAGUAAGGCGCAGGGUGCUUCACCAGCAGCAGUAAAGCUGAUGGCUCGAAGGGUCAAGGUGUGAGAUAGUGGAGGAUUAUAAGGUUCAGAAAUUAUUUUCUUCUUUACAGACUCUGUUGCCAGGAGGUACCUUUAUCUGUGUUUCUGAGUCAGCUUAUAGAUGAUCCAAGGCAUUCUGAACAGCAUAAGAUUGCUUUGACUUUAAAAUGUUGCUUUUCCCCAUAGGGCGUUCACCCUCUUCCCUUCAAAUCAGUCCUAACCCCUCUACCGAGUUAAAAAAAGUGGGGUUAAAGCACCCCAACCAGCCUCUCCCUGCUCCCGUCCGUCUUUCCUUCUGAUUUUCCAUCUUCCUUCCCAGCUAGCUGUUCCUGUCAGACCUGGGAUGUGGCUCACCCUAAAGCAACUGGAAAAAUAUGAAGAUGUCCUGAAGAAACUGCUAGCAGAGAUGUCACAGGA